AGAAGAAAGUUCUCAUGAAUUUUUUCUCACACAAAGCCCUCCUCAUGCCCUACUUUAAUGCACCAAAUGAGUGGAUAAGGAUGAUUGGUUGGCCAUUCAAAUUCAAAAUAAAAUUUGAAUUUGAAUGAGCAACCAAUGUUAGCGCCUUGACCUUAUCCUCUUUUAGUGCCCCAUUUAUUACACGAGAAAAUAUUUCUCAUGAAAUCACUCAUGCACAAAUUAAGCCAUGCCCUCCUCUUCUCACGCCCUUAGUGGAUGGGGAUAAAUUGAUUUCCAUUUGAAUUCAAAAUUUGAUUUGAAUUUAAAUGUGCAAUUACUCAUCUUUAUCAUCUCACAUGGAUUAUAUCCCAUAAAGAUGAAUGCAAAAAGAAAGCUUUACUUUUCUACAAAAUCUUAGAAUUGUGUAUGUGA
rnacentral:lncRNA from 1 species